ACUCAAAUGAAUUGACGGGGACCCGCACAAGCAGUGGAGCGUGUGGUUUAAUUCGAUACAAAGCGAAACACCUCACCAGGACUUGACAUGUAGCUGCAAGCGCACGGAAACGUGUGACCUUCGAGGGUGCUACACAGAUGCUGCAUGGCUGUCGUCAGCUCGUGGCGUGAGCUGUAGUCUUAAGUGACGAAACGAGCGCAACCCUCACCUUAUGUUAAAUUAUCCAUGAGGAACUGCCCCGAUUUUCGGGGAGGAAGGCGAGGAUGACGUCAAGUCAGCACGGUUCUUACGUCCUGGGCAACACACACCCUACAAUGGCGAAAAACAACGAGCUGCAAGCUGGUAACAGCAAGCUAAUCUCUUAAAUUUCGCCUCAGUUCAGAUUGAGGGCUGCAACCCGCCCUCAUGAAGUCGGAAUUGCUAGUAAUCGCGGAUCAGCGGGCCGCGGUGAAUACGUUCUCGGGUCUUGCACACACCGCCCGU
rnacentral:rRNA from 1 species